CUACUACUCCCUCCGUCCGAAAAUACUUAUCAUUGAAAUGGAUGUAUCUAGAUGUAUUUUAGUUCUAGACACAUCCAUUUUGAUGACAAGUAAUUCUGGACGGAGGGAGUAUUAU
rnacentral:pre_miRNA from 1 species